ensembl:lncRNA
ACUCAGCCCAUUUGACCAUGGGAAGGGAAAUGAGAUGAAGAACGAGGAGAAAGAGCAAGAGGGUGAAUGCAAAAGCAGAAGGCACCCACUGCUCUGUCCUUGCCUGGCUUUUGAUGCUCUUUCUCUGGCUCUUGGACCUGCAAGUUUAAGCCCACUCUGAACUACUAGAGAGAAAAAUUCUGCUUUGGCUGAUUUUUAGAGAGAAUAAAAGCAACAAGGUGCUCUGAAGAGAGAAGCAGUAAAUGGUGUGUAACAGGUAAGAAAAGUAUCACUCUGUCAUUUUUCUUAGCCUCUUUUCCUUCCAAACACGGAUAUCUGUGCAGCUAUGCACAAGUUCACGUGCAGCUAUAUAUCUGCGUCCGUACAUGUAUAUGUAAAUAAAACACUCUUUUUAUGAAACUCAUUUAAUGGGGGGGUUCUGUAUAUCCUAAAUUUUAUUUUUCUUCUGACACAGGAAAAUGCCCUUAGGCGACCAGCAUCAGCUGCUUUCUGUUAUGCUGCCAUCUGUUAUGUAAAACAAGUAGAAUUCCUUUUUUUCUCUUUUCCCAGUGGCUUUCCUGUUUUUCAGCUAUGGUCAGCUCUGGUUGGUUUUGCCUUUUUAGCCCUCUUUUAUGAUGCAGAAUAGCCUUUUAGCUGUUACAUAAAUAUAACGUUGUGAAAUAGGAUAAAAGGAUUUAUCUCUACAUAGAAAGUGUGUAUUUAUCUAUGUUAGCCAUUUGAAAAACACCCUCUGCUUUCCUUCCUGGCUGCUGUUUAAGUCACGACAUAUUCCUCGGUGCAUGCGGCGUUUACAUUGGGAGCAUAGUGGAACACUGCAGAAUCCAGAUUCAGAUUUUAAGACAUCUUUGAAAUAUGAAUAAGAUCGACUCAAGGAUUUUGGUUUAGAACUUUCAUUUACUUAAGAUCCUGUAUCCAAAUGAUGGUGCCAGAAGCUAAAUAUCCGUGCUAUCUAUAUUGCCAGUACUUAACGUAGCACACCGCAGAUGGCUUUGAAGUCUUUGAAGACUUGUUAGGUUGGCACAGACUUUGAAUGUAUGUGAAAUACGCAGUAAAACAGACUAUACAGCCGUAUUGUUAUUCUAAUGCUUUUCUUGGAACUGGAGCUUUUCUCUUUUUUAGGUGACCCUCAGACAAUGUUUUGGGAUAAAGCUUUCUCUGCACAUCUUCCUGUGCAGGCUAUACAUUUUCAGAUUCUUUUAACUGAAAGAAUGUUCGCUAUAUAAGCGGGAAAUUCAAUUUAUACCUGAACAAAGUGUUAAAGAAAAAAGUGUUUCUCCAGGUUUCCAGGUGGCUGCAUCAAAACCAGGAUUCAAUAGCCUAUACUGCCCUGGAAAGACACCAGACGUGGUGAUGUGAUGUCAAUCCCUCCAGCUCACCUUUCUCCUGGGGGUCUGUGCAGCUCCCUCUGGUCCCUCAGCUGCUGGAGGUUACCUUGGAGUCUACAAACUCUCAACACCACGACUCACUCUAUAAAUUUGAAGAAAUCAAGACAGAAAAGCUAAGUGCUUUUGCUUCAUAAGACAUCCAAAGAAAAGAGAGAGCCAAAGGGCAAUCCUCUGUUGCUGUUCGCUGUGGGGAGACGCCGCAUAGCUUUAUGAACUCUGC